AACCUGUAUCCGAACUGUCACCUUAAGGUGCGCGUGCCCAUGAGGGCUAGGAUACGGGUUUCUA
rnacentral:sRNA from 1 species